CGUCCAGACUCCUACGGGAGGCAGCAGUGAGGAAUAUUGGUCAAUGGGCGCGAGCCUGAACCAGCCAAGUCGCGUGAGGGAGGACGGCCCUACGGGUUGUAAACCUCUUUUGCCGGGGAGCAACGGGCGUCACGUGUGGCGCCACUGAGAGUACCCGGAGAAAAAGCAUCGGCUAACUCCGUGCCAGCAGCCGCGGUAAUACGGAGGAUGCGAGCGUUAUCCGGAUUCACUGGGUGUAAAGGGAGCGUAGACGGCCAUGCAAGCCUGGAGUGAAAGCCCGGGGCCCAACCCCGGGACUGCUCUGGGAACUGUGCGGCUGGAGUGCGGGAGGGGCAGGCGGAAUUCCUGGUGUAGCGGUGAAAUGCGUAGAUAUCAGGAGGAACACCGGCGGCGAAGGCGGCCUGCUGGACCGCGACUGACGUUGAGGCUCGAAAGCGUGGGGAGCAAACAGGAUUAGAUACCCCAGUAG
rnacentral:rRNA from 1 species